UUUUAGGUUGCGCUACCCUUGCCGACUGUGACCAGUACUGGUUCUCUCAUCACUGUGGCAAACCACACAAACAGUGUAUGAAUGGUCACUGUACAUGCACGCAUGGUCAUGGACGCUGAUAGAUUUGACCAUUGAUGAAUUUCAUGACAUUAAUAUCGUGGCUGCCUAAACAAAUCUUUGUAAUUUUGUUAGUAUAUUUAGUAUUAUGAAAACAGAUAAAUAAAUGUUAUAAAAA